rnacentral:misc_RNA from 1 species
GAAAUGCGAUAAGUAGUGUGAAUUGCAGAAUUCAGUGAAUCAUCGAAUCUUUGAACGCACAUUGCGCUCUCUGGUAUUCCGGGGAGCAUGCCUGUUUGAGUAUCAGUAAAAUCUCUCAUAUAUGCACUCGCUUUAUUGUGUAUGUGUAUGUGGAUAUGAGUCUUCCCAGGCGAAGGUAACUUCAGGAACUGGGUGACUUAAAAUGUAUGGUUUGGCUGGGACUCUCUAAGAUCCAAUGGCCGAAAAGCGCGACAAGGACUGAAGGGCUCCGGCCUGAUAAGUUUAAUCCGCUGAACUCGGUGUUUUUGGAAUUUAUUCUUGGGAGCUAAACCCAUCGCCUUCUCCAAACUUUUAUACACUUGAGCCUUGCUUUGGCAAGGCACUUGUGAUCUUGAUCUCA